GGAAAAGCACUGACAAAAUCCUACGAGAGCGGAGCCCUGGGGACCGCCAAGGCCAAGAGUUUAGUGACUAUGGUUUCACAGGCUCCGGGAAAGGGCCCGAGCGGCUCAUAGGCAAAAUAGCCAGUCCUCCACAACUGCUGAGUCAAAAGAGAACUCCGUCCACCAAAUGUACAACUGAGCAAGCGAU